UAUAGAAGUGUUUUUUGACAUUUUAUUUUUCCAGACAUAAUGGCAUGCCUGUAGUGCUAACAUUCAAAAGGCAGAGGCAGGAGAACUUCUGAGAGUCCAAGGCUACGUGAUAACAUACUGUCUCAAAACAAACAUACCAACUUUCAAGUGUGUCUUCAGAAGCUCAGUCUGGUCUGUGUGAUGCAGUUUUCUCAUCGAGUUGGCUCUGUUUGGGAAGCGGCAGCCACUACCUCCUGCAGAAGCUCUACCGCUUUCACACAAAUGAGCGAGAAUCAUCCCUGACUCAAUGCUGGGAAGAGGACAGGAUGCUGGCUAGAACACAAGAGUUGAGUGACUAAGAAUUAUGGCAGUGCUCCAGAACAUGGUGGAUGAUGUGGU
rnacentral:lncRNA from 1 species